GGGGAUGCCGAGGGGAUGAACAUGGUCUCUAAGGACGUCCAAAACGUGCUGGACUACCUGCAGCCAGGAUGACUUCCCUGACAUGGAUGUUGUCAGCAUAGGUUGUUAUCGCACUGAGGAUGCUAUGGGAAAACAGGGACAUAUUUGAUCUUGUUAUCAGUGAUGUGCACAUGCCAGACAUGGAUGGCUUUAAGCUUCUUGAGCUUGAAAUGGACCUCCCUAUCAUCAGUAAGUUAAAAAAAAUAUCCAUCUCAUAGUUGCCCAAUUUCCUUACCGGUCUUGGUAAUAGGAGCCCAUGAGGUACUUCUGUAAAGUACAUACAAAGAUGUACUAUAUAUGUAGUAUCAAUUCGGUACACUGAAUCCUAUGACUUGUAUCUCUAAUUAAGGAGGGGGAAAUGUCAAAGCAGUUAAAAUAAUCCUAAACAAUCUGGAAACAUAUAGCUUUGAAUAGACAUAUAUUAUUUUGCUGAAGAGUUCAGUCCAUGCAUGUUUUUGCCACCUAAUUUGAAGUCCUAUGAUGAUUAUAAAAACACCUCGCCCCGCUAUCUUGUUAUAUUAGAUGUUCUCCUGCUUUGGCUAAAUCAGAUACAGGCUCUAAGCAUAUUCAGUUUAAAUAAUGCCAGUCUUAAUUUGGAUAAAUGAAAUAACAAGACCUUCAGACUAAUGUGGAACAAUUGGUCAAUUUUUUUUUGGUUCUUGUCAGUUUAGUUAGUGGCCUAUAUGAAUUUGAUUUGGCCUACAAUAUUUUUGUACAGUUAUUGAUUUGCUAGCAUAUAUUCUAAACUUAAUUUUGUUAGCUCCUAUUUGGUGUUCUUUCUUAUAAUACCUUUUUAUAUGUCGCAAGCUUAUUUUGUUCACGAGAGUUUCUCCGUGUUUCUGAAGAGAAGAUUUGGGUUCAGAGCACCUUCGGUUAUAAGAAUUUGUUUUCUAAUUCUUGCUGGUCAGUCACAAAGCAUUCAUAUUUGUUUGCUUUACAAUUUUUCUGGAGUAAUGGAAUGUUAAUUGGCUGGUGGCGGCAUGUUCAAGUAUGGGGAAUGAUGAGCUCCUACUUCUUUUUAUGCCAGCUCUAUGCCGUAGGCCCUAUGGUACUAUCGUUUGAGUGAGAGUAGUGCCAGUGUUUCACAAGGCUUUGGAGUUUUCUCUGAUAGCAAGAUGGUUUUUGGAAAAUAUUUACCAGGAACUUCAACUAGGCAUGAAACACAUGAAAAGUGGAAAUAAGAUGUGCGAACAAUCAUCUGUGUUUUGGUAACCAUGCUGAUGAGGGGGGAGCUGCCAUUGAGGCAUGUUUGGCCGAUCGUGGUCCAUUAGGGUUUAACUACAUAGGAACAUGUUAUCUUACAAUUAGUGUGCUUUUCUACAAUUAGUGUAUUUGGCCUUGAUAAUUGAAUAUAUAUGGACAUGUUAUCUUACAAUUAGUGUGCUUUUUCUACACCUUUGUGUAAAGGGUGGAGCCUACACAAUGCCUAAUGAGCCAUGCUUUUUCCCUCCCAGUAAAAUGCUCUAUUUUCAAGUGGCAUCAUACAGUGAAGGAGGGGGUCUGGAUCAAGAGCCGUAAUGUUGCUUGUGACGGCAUGUAUAGCACUUGCGCGACCCUGGACUCUGGCUUCUUGCAAGUAAGCUCCUUUUGCUGGACUCUGGCUUCUUCUUGCAAGUUGACCAUACUAUUGUGAGAAUCUCGGCCAGGAUCAUUCUUUAUAUCAUGUUGGAUCAUCUUGGAAUUCGUAGAGCCAUUUACCGUCGAAAGAUGUACUCAUAGAACAUAAUCAGUGUGAUUAUGCUUUUCUACACUUCUGUCCUGAGCAAUGGGAUAUGUAUUCUGUACUGUAUGACUACCCUCUAACGCACUACUCAACCUUCAGUCUCUGUAUGUACAAAUGACUUGAUCUAAUUGUUAUGGAUGACCUAUGGAGUGUUUUGCUUUCUAUAUAAAUGACUUGCUUUAAUUCUGAUUUAUCAUAUUGCGUAGCUUUUGACCUAUUCCUUUUUGCCAAACUUGAUGCGUCAAGCUUUGAGCUACUAUACUGACAGUGAAGAUAAAAUUCCAAUAUACUCUCCUGCAACAUGCUCAUAUCACCUACUACUCCACAAGUACAUGGUCUAUGUAAGAUAAACGCUCUCUUUGCUAAAAGCAUGGGCUUUGCAUUAUGUUCCUACUUUAAUUACUUUCGCUCCUAUAUUUGGUAUCGAACUUAAUGAUGAGUGGUUAUCUUUUGUGGUCUUAUGAACAUGCUGAACUCGAUGUUGCCUUAUAGUCUUAUGCCGAUAUUGAACUCCAUUAUGUCUUCUGUCACAAACAAAUGUUUUUUCUUCACUUCAUUUUGUUAUCAUGUUUGAAUUCAUACGCUUAACGUAGAUUCCUACUAAAUUACCACUACUUGUUUCACCAAAAUGUUGGGACCGGCACCCUCGCGCCUUGGCGCGAUCCCGAUCUAGUUUGUAACAUGCCUCGUCUUUUCUGCCUCUUUUUAGCAUGUGUGCACGUGUGGCUCUUCUGAUGUGAAAUACCGGAACCUACAAUCAAACACAGCGGACAAUGCAAAACUUUUAAGGUAAUAAAAGAAGAUUGAAAAAAGACAAUGGUAUAGACUUACCCCAAAAAAGACGCAUUUCUUGUUGGCCCAUGAGGAUUUGCAUACUCAGCAUGCCAUAUGUGGAGGAAAGGUAUGAGGUUAUUUAGCUUUGAAAAAAAUGAUAAACACAAAACUAAGUAAGCUGAAAGAAUAAUGAAGAAUGAAAAUGAAACAUGAACUGAACUGAACUAAAUUGAAAAUGAACAAUUAACUUAUCUAAAAGAAACUGAACUGAACUGAUAAAGGAACAAAGAAUGGAACAUUGGCGA